rnacentral:rRNA from 1 species
GACGAACGCUGGCGGCGUGCUUAACACAUGCAAGUCGAACGGAAAGGCCCUGCUUUUGUGGGGUGCUCGAGUGGCGAACGGGUGAGUAACACGUGAGUAACCUGCCCUUGACUUUGGGAUAACUUCAGGAAACUGGGGCUAAUACCGUAUAUGAGCUCCUGCUGCAUGGUGGGGUUUGGAAAGUUUCGGCGGUUGGGGAUGGACUCGCGGCUUAUCAGCUUGUUGGUGGGGUAGUGGCUUACCAAGGCUUUGACGGGUAGCCGGCCUGAGAGGGUGACCGGCCACAUUGGGACUGAGAUACGGCCCAGACUCCUACGGGAGGCAGCAGUGGGGAAUAUUGCACAAUGGGCGGAAGCCUGAUGCAGCAACGCCGCGUGCGGGAUGACGGCCUUCGGGUUGUAAACCGCUUUCGCCUGUGACGAAGCGUGAGUGACGGUAAUGGGUAAAGAAGCACCGGCUAACUACGUG